GCCAGUGCUGCUGGUGCCGGAGUCCGGAAGCUGACGGCGUUGCCUAGGCUGGAUUGCAGCGGUGCGAUCAGGACUCAUUGCAUCCUCAACCUCCCCGACUCAAGCAGUCCUCCCACCUCAGCCUCCUGAGUAGCAAGGCUACAGGUGUGUGCCACCACGUCUGGUAAUUUUUUCUACUUUUUUUGUGUAGAGACGAGCUCUUGCUAUGUUGCUUAGACUGGUCUUGAACUCCUGGUCUCAAGUGAUCCUCCCACCUUGGCCUCCCAAAGUGCUGGGAUUACAGGCGUGAGGCACCAUGCCUGACCCAUUUGUUUUCUUUGACUUGUGUUAGAGCAUCCUAGUCUAAAGAAAAAGUGGCCACACAAUGUUCUUUAUGUGGACUUCUGCAGGAAUGGUCCUCUCACCCAGUCACCCAGUCCUGGCAAUUUGCUGCCAUUUUUUUUGGUCAUUUUUCCUGGCUAAGUCUAGUUCCAGCUCCAGAGAUUAGAAUAUGAAAGGAUUAACCCCCCAAAAUGGGAUGGAGGGAUGAAUGAGUUGAAAGUUUUUGUUUCCCUUUUCCAAACACUGAGUUGGCUCUCAUCAGCACAGCUGUCUCUGGGGAUGUAUAAAGCGUAAUUAAUACAUUUUAAAUGUUUGGUUUCAACUUUUUUUGCUAGUGAGAUAAGAUAAGGAGUUUUUGUCAUGACAAGGGAAGGGGUGGAUUUCUUUCUAUCAUUUGCAGGAGUGGGUACCACUUGGAUCCUGUAGGUAGACAGUUGCAUGAGAUGAUAAACUUUAUAGGGGGCAUGGAAGAAAGCCAGUGGAGAUGGGGAAGGAAUGGCUAGACUCUUUAGCUUCCUGACAACCAGAGGGGGAAAAUGAACUUCCAGAGAAUUUGGGUUUUGCCUUAAAUAUUGAAAUUUGCUUGGGCAUUUGGUCCACUUCUUAAUUAACCUGGGUCCAGAACUGAAUGUCUUUGCAGUCGGAGCUCAGAAUUGCUUUGGUAUCUCACAGUACACAUAGCAUUUCCCUGUUGGUGUACGGUAGGCCAAGGACCAGAGCAUGUGUUGUGCUGUAGCCAAAAGGAAUAGUCUCCAUGACCUUAUCGUUGGAGAGAUCAUUGGACACUGAAAUAGUUGAGCAUGGACACUCUAAGAUGGGUGGAAAUACUAGAAGAGUUAUUAUUAGCAGAGGGAUCUAUGUAUCCAUAAGAUCCAUAUUUUUAAUUAUAAUGUUCAUAUCUUCUAUAUUCUUUUUAAUAAAUGGUGCUGGGAAAACUGGCUAGCCAUAUGUAGAAAGCUGAAACUGGAUCCCUUCCUUACACCUUAUACAAAAAUUAAUUCAAGAUGGAUUAAAGACUUAAACGUUAGACCUAAAACCAUAAAAACCCUAGAA
rnacentral:lncRNA from 1 species